rnacentral:rRNA from 1 species
CGAGAAUUUGAACGCAAGUUGCGCCCGAGGCCAGCCGGCCAAGGGCACGUCCGCCUGGGCGUCAAGCGUUGCGUCGCUCCGUGCCAUCUCCAUCCCACCGAAGGGUGUGCAUGCGGGAGGGUCGGAUGUGCAGAGUGGCUCGUCGUGCCCUCGGGCGCGACGGGCUCAAGAGUUGGUGAUCGUCUCGUUGGCCACGAGCAGCAAGGGGUGGAUGAAAAUUGUGCCUGUGAUGUAUCGUGGCGGCCAGAGAAGAGAUCAUACCAUGCAGAUGAUCCCAGCCCAAGCGUCGAUCCGCGGACGGCGGCUUGGA